UCUCAUUCAUACUGAAUCACAGGAAAUGUUCUUCUGUCUCUGAGAAAAUCUGCCAACACUCCACAAGAGUCUUCCAGACAUCAUGUCCCUCCUUUAUAUUUCCAUCUUAUGGGUCUGUGCCUGUGUGGACAGUGCAGAACCUCUGGUUACUGUAUCAGCUCCAGUGGGUUCCACAGUCAUCCUGCCGUGUAACCUGACUGAAGACUUCAAACCAAC